ACCAGGGGCUAAAGGCACAGUCGUAAUGGAUUUGUCCUUACUGUGGCCAGAUUUCUACUUGUGCUCUCUCAGUCUGUUGUUCCCUAGGCAACCGUUGGCCUCAAUGCCCUCAACGCUCCCAGCAGGCCGCGUGGCAACCAGCAGCGCCGCCAUCUUCGCCAGCGUCGGAAACAAACGCUUGAUCUCUACUCCUGUUCUGGUCCUCCUUGCACGUUGCUUCAGCCGUGUCUGCUACCGGUGAGGACGACCCGGCCCCAGGAGGACAGAGCCAAGCUGAUGAAGAAACAAGCCUGGGCCCGAAACCCCUCCAUGAUGUCGAGGUGCCUGCGGAAUUGUUGGUUUUGACGGCGGGAGCGGUGGGACUUCUAGCCUUUCAGAUGGUUCUCCGAAACUUUGAGGAAAAGGAGAGUGAGCAAUUGGUGGCCCAACCCGCCUUCGACAAGGACCGGGGGCCGGUAGAGGAGAAAGAUGAAGAGGAAAAAGAACGCGAGGAAGAAGACAGUGAGGAGCGGGGAGAAGCGGCAGGUUUUUCAGAGUAUAAGGUACUGGAUGCUGAAACUGUGUGUAAGUUGUAAUAUUUUUCACAUGAUGUCAUGGCCCCGAAGUCUCUGUCAUUCCUUGCUGAGGAAGCAUUGCUACAUUACUAUGAAUCUUUGGAUGAAGAAGAUCAACAAGGUGAAGGGAAAGAAGAAGAGAAAGAGGACAAAAAUGAAGAACUGGAAGAAGGACACCAAAAGUACCUGUAGUGACAGGUCAACAUCUCUUAGGAAUUCAGGUAUUGGUUUAUAUCCUUUAGUAUUAACUAACCAUUCCUCACAUACUGCUGGUACUGAUAGCUUUAUGUUUUCAAAUUUCAGUGAAUAAAAUAUUACUAAAAUUUACUUUUAAAAAGUUUAAUGUUAACAAUGUG
rnacentral:lncRNA from 1 species